UACGUAGGGUGCAAGCGUUGUCCGGAAUUAUUGGGCGUAAAGAGCUCGUAGGCGGUUUGUCACGUCGGAUGUGAAACCCUGAGGCUCAACCUCAGGCCUGCAUUCGAUACGGGCAGACUAGAAUUCGGCAGGGGAGACUGGAAUUCCUGGUGUAGCGGUGAAAUGCGCAGAUAUCAGGAGGAACACCGGUGGCGAAGGCGGGUCUCUGGGCCGAUAUUGACGCUGAGGAGCGGAAGCGUGGGGAGCAAACAGG
rnacentral:rRNA from 1 species